AUCGGGGCAGGGUGAGUCGACCCCUAAGGCGAGGCCGAAAGGCGUAGUCGAUGGGAAACAGGUUAAUAUUCCUGUACUUGGUGUUACUGCGAAGGGGGGACGGAGAAGGCUAUGUUGGCCGGGCGACGGUUGUCCCGGUUUAAGCGUGUAGGCUGGUUUUCCAGGCAAAUCCGGAAAACCAAGGCUGAGGCGUGAUGACGAGGCACUACGGUGCUGAAGCGACAAAUGCCCUGCUUCCAGGAAAAGCCUCUAAGCAUCAGGUAACAUCAAAUCGUACCCCAAACCGACACAGGUGGUCAGGUAGAGAAUACCAAGGCGCUUGAGAGAACUCGGGUGAAGGAACUAGGCAAAAUGGUGCCGUAACUUCGGGAGAAGGCACGCUGAUAUGUAGGUGAAGCGACUUGCUCGUGGAGCUGAAAUCAGUCGAAGAUACCAGCUGGCUGCAACUGUUUAUUAAAAACACAGCACUGUGCAAACACGAAAGUGGACGUAUACGGUGUGACGCCUGCCCGGUGCCGGAAGGUUAAUUGAUGGGGUUAGCGGUAACGCGAAGCUCUUGAUCGAAGCCCCGGUAAACGGCGGCCGUAACUAUAACGGUCCUAAGGUAGCGAAAUUCCUUGUCGGGUAAGUUCCGACCUGCACGAAUGGCGUAAUGAUGGCCAGGCUGUCUCCACCCGAGACUCAGUGAAAUUGAACUCGCUGUGAAGAUGCAGUGUACCCGCGGCAAGACGGAAAGACCCCGUGAACCUUUACUAUAGCUUGACACUGAACAUUGAGCCUUGAUGUGUAGGAUAGGUGGGAGGCUUUGAAGUGUGGACGCCAGUCUGCAUGGAGCCGACCUUGAAAUACCACCCUUUAAUGUUUGAUGUUCUAACGUGGGCCCCUAAUCGGGGUUGCGGACAGUGUCUGGUGGGUAGUUUGACUGGGGCGGUCUCCUCCUAAAGAGUAACGGAGGAGCACGAAGGUUGGCUAAUCCUGGUCGGACAUCAGGAGGUUAGUGCAAUGGCAUAAGCCAGCUUGACUGCGAGCGUGACGGCGCGAGCAGGUGCGAAAGCAGGUCAUAGUGAUCCGGUGGUUCUGAAUGGAAGGGCCAUCGCUCAACGGAUAAAAGGUACUCCGGGGAUAACAGGCUGAUACCGCCCAAGAGUUCAUAUCGACGGCGGUGUUUGGCACCUCGAUGUCGGCUCAUCACAUCCUGGGGCUGAAGUAGGUCCCAAGGGUAUGGCUGUUCGCCAUUUAAAGUGGUACGCGAGCUGGGUUUAGAACGUCGUGAGACAGUUCGGUCCCUAUCUGCCGUGGGCGCUGGAGAACUGAGGGGGGCUGCUCCUAGUACGAGAGGACCGGAGUGGACGCAUCACUGGUGUUCGGGUUGUCAUGCCAAUGGCACUGCCCGGUAGCUAAAUGCGGAAGAGAUAAGUGCUGAAAGCAUCUAAGCACGAAACUUGC
rnacentral:rRNA from 1 species